CUUCGGGAAACCGAAGCUAAUACCGGAUAAUCUUUUGCGCCUCAUGGCGCGAAAGUAAAAGUUGGGUUUUACCUAACACUACAGGAUGGGCCCGCGGCGCAUUAGCUAGUUGGUAAGGUAAUGGCUUACCAAGGCGACGAUGCGUAGCCGACCUGAGAGGGUGAUCGGCCACACUGGGACUGAGACACGGCCCAGACUCCUACGGGAGGCAGCAGUAGGGAAUCUUCCGCAAUGGACGAAAGUCUGACGGAGCAACGCCGCGUGAACGAUGAAGGCCUUCGGGUCGUAAAGUUCUGUUGUUAGGGAAGAACAAGUACCGUUCGAAUAGGGCGGUACCUUGACGGUACCUAACCAGAAAGCCACGGCUAACUACGUGCCAGCAGCCGCGGUAAUACGUAGGUGGCAAGCGUUGUCCGGAAUUAUUGGGCGUAAAGCGCGCGCAGGCGGUCUCUUAAGUCUGAUGUGAAAGCCCACGGCUCAACCGUGGAGGGUCAUUGGAAACUGGGAGACUUGAGUGCAGAAGAGGAGAGUGGAAUUCCAUGUGUAGCGGUGAAAUGCGUAGAUAUAUGGAGGAACACCAGUGGCGAAAGGCGACUCUCUGGUCUGUAACUGACGCUGAGGCGCGAAAGCGUGGGGAGCAAACAGGAUUAGAUACCCUGGUAGUCACGCCGUAAACGAUGAGUGCUAGGUGUUAGGGGUUUCGAUGCCCUUAGUGCCGAAGUUAACACAUUAAGCACUCCGCCUGGGGAGUACGACCGCAAGGUUGAAACUCAAAGGAAUUGACGGGGGCCCGCACAAGCAGUGGAGCAUGUGGUUUAAUUCGAAGCAACGCGAAGAACCUUACCAGGUCUUGACAUCCUUUGACAACCCUAGAGAUAGGGCUUUCCCCUUCGGGGGACAAAGUGACAGGUGGUGCAUGGUUGUCGUCAGCUCGUGUCGUGAGAUGUUGGGUUAAGUCCCGCAACGAGCGCAACCCUUGAUCUUAGUUGCCAGCAUUCAGUUGGGCACUCUAAGGUGACUGCCGGUGACAAACCGGAGGAAGGUGGGGAUGACGUCAAAUCAUCAUGCCCCUUAUGACCUGGGCUACACACGUGCUACAAUGGAUGGUACAAAGGGCAGCAAAACCGCGAGGUUGAGCCAAUCCCAUAAAGCCAUUCUCAGUUCGGAUUGUAGGCUGCAACUCGCCUACAUGAAGCCGGAAUUGCUAGUAAUCGCGGAUCAGCAUGCCGCGG
rnacentral:rRNA from 1 species